rnacentral:rRNA from 1 species
CCCUUAGAUGUCCUGGGCCACACGCGCGCUACACUGAACGGAUCAGCGCGUUUUCCCUUCCCGAGAGGGACGGGUAACCUGCUGAACCCCGUUCGUGGUAGGGAUCGGGGCUUGCAAUUAUUCCCCGUGAACCAGGAAUGCCCAGUAAGUGCAAGUCAUAAGCUUGCGUUGAUUACGUCCCUGCCCUUUGUACACACCGCCCGUCGCUACUACCGAUUGAACGUUUUAGUGAGGUACUCGGACUGAGCCUCAGAAGAUUCACGUCUUUUGUGCUGCUCGGGAAGAUUCCCAAACUUGAGCGUUUAGAGGAAGUAAAAGUCGUAACA